rnacentral:rRNA from 1 species
GAGUUUGAUCCUGGCUCAGGACGAACGCUGGCGGUGCGCCUUAUGCAUGCAAGUUGAGCGAAGCUUUUUGGUAGUUUACUACUAGAAAUGACUGAGCGGCGAACGGGUGAGUAACGCGUGAGCAAUCUACCUUAGUUACUGGGAUAGCCCGAGGAAACUCGGAUUAAUACCGGAUAUUCUUAUUUUUUCACAUGAAGUUUUAAGGAAAGGUCAGCCGAACUAAGAUGAGCUCGCGUUCUAUCAGCUAGUUGGUGGGGUAAAAGCCUACCAAGGCUACGACGGAUAGCUGGUCUGAGAGGACGAUCAGCCACACUGGGACUGAGACACGGCCCAGACUCCUACGGGAGGCUGCAGCAGGGAAUAUUGUGCAAUGAGCGAAAGCUUGACACAGCGACACCGCGUGUGGGAUGACGGUUCUAGGAUUGUAAACCACUUUCAGGAGGGAAGAAAAUGACGGUACCUCCACAAGAAGACCCGGCCAACUAUGUGCCAGCAGCCGCGGUAAUACAUAGGGGUCAAGCGUUGUCCGGAUUUAUUGGGCGUAAAGAGCUCGUAGGCAGUUCAACAAGUCGGUCGUAAAAGUUUAGGGCUCAACCCUAAAAUGUCGAUCGAUACUGUUGUGACUAGGAUACGGUAGAGGUGAAUGGAAUUCCGAGUGUAGCGGUGAAAUGCGUAGAUAUUCGGAGGAACACCAAUUGCGAAGGCAGUUCACUGGACCGUGAUCGACGCUGAGGAGCGAAAGCUAGGGGAGCAAACAGGAUUAGAUACCCUGGUAGUCCUAUCUGUAAACGAUGGAUACUAGAUGUAGGAACUGGAUUGACGGUUUCUGUAUCGUAGCUAACGCGUUAAGUAUCCCGCCUGGGGAGUACGGUCGCAAGACUAAAACUCAAAGGAAUUGACGGGACCCCGCACAAGCGGCGGAGCAUGCGGCUUAAUUCGAUGAUACCCGUAGAACCUUACCUGGACUUGACAUAUAGGGAAAAACUGGAGAAAUCCAGUGUGCGUAAGCGCCCUAUACAGGUGGUGCAUGGCUGUCGUCAGCUCGUGUCGUGAGAUGUUGGGUUAAGUCCCGCAACGAGCGCAACCCCAGUCCUAUGUUGCCAGCAAGUAAUGUUGGGGACUCAUAGGAGACUGCCGGUGAUAAACCGGAGGAAGGUGGGGACGACGUCAAGUCAUCAUGCCCCUUAUGUCCAGGGCUGCACGCAUGCUACAAUGGCAAGUACAACGAGUCGCAAUACCGCGAGGUGGAGCAAAUCUCUUAAAGCUUGUCUCAGUUCGGAUAGGAGUCUGCAACUCGACUCCUUGAAGUUGGAGUCGCUAGUAAUCGCAGAUCAGCAAAGUUGCGGUGAAUACGUUCUCGGGGUUUGUACACACCGCCCGUC